UACACAUGCAAGUCGAGCGGAAACGAGUUAUCUGAACCUUCGGGGAACGAUAACGGCGUCGAGCGGCGGACGGGUGAGUAAUGCCUGGGAAAUUGCCCUGAUGUGGGGGAUAACUAUUGGAAACGAUAGCUAAUACCGCAUAACGUCUACGGACCAAAGAGGGGGACCUUCGGGCCUCUCGCUUCAGGAUAUGCCCAGGUGGGAUUAGCUAGUUGGUGAGGUAAUGGCUCACCAAGGCGACGAUCCCUAGCUGGUCUGAGAGGAUGAUCAGCCACACUGGAACUGAGACACGGUCCAGACUCCUACGGGAGGCAGCAGUGGGGAAUAUUGCACAAUGGGCGCAAGCCUGAUGCAGCCAUGCCGCGUGUAUGAAGAAGGCCUUCGGGUUGUAAAGUACUUUCAGUCGUGAGGAAGGC
rnacentral:rRNA from 1 species